AGCAGCCGCGGUAAUUCCAGCUCCAAUAGCGUAUAUUAAAGUUGUUGCAGUUAAAAAGCUCGUAGUUGAACUUCGGGGUUUACUCAUUGGUCAGGCUUAAUUGUCUGUACUGGUGAGAUGAAUCUCUACCUUCUGAGGAACUUUCAUGCCAUUUAUUUGGUGUGGUUGGAAAUCAGGACUGUUACUUUGAAAAAUUAGAGUGUUUAAAGCAGGCUAACGUCUGAAUACAUUAGCAUGGAAUAAUGAAAUAGGACGGAUUGAUUCUAUUUCGUUGGUUUCUAGGGUCACCGUAAUGAUUAAUAGGGAUAGUUGGGGGCAUUAGUAUUCAAUUGUCAGAGGUGAAAUUCUUGGAUUUAUUGAAGACUAACUACUGCGAAAGCAUUUGCCAAGGAUGUUUUCAUUAAUCAAGAACGAAAGUUAGGGGAUCGAAGACGAUCAGAUACCGUCGUA
rnacentral:rRNA from 1 species